AUUGAACGCUGGCGGAAUGCUUUACACAUGCAAGUCGAACGAUGAACCUUAGCUUGCUAAGGGGAUUAGUGGCGAACGGGUGAGUAAUAUAUCGGAACGUGCCUUGUAAUGGGGGAUAACUAGUCGAAAGAUUAGCUAAUACCGCAUACGCCCUGAGGGGGAAAGUAGGGGAUCUUCGGACCUUACGUUAUAAGAGCGGCCGAUAUCUGAUUAGCUAGUUGGUGGGGUAAUGGCCUACCAAGGCGACGAUCAGUAGCUGGUCUGAGAGGACGACCAGCCACACUGGAACUGAGACACGGUCCAGACUCCUACGGGAGGCAGCAGUGGGGAAUGUUGGACAAUGGGCGCAAGCCUGAUCCAGCCAUUCCGCGUGAGUGAAGAAGGCCUUCGGGUUGUAAAGCUCUUUCGCAAGGGAAGAAAACUUACCAUCGAAUAAAUGGUGAGGCUGACGGUACCUUGAUAAGAAGCACCGGCUAACUACGUG
rnacentral:rRNA from 1 species